UACAGGGGGUGCAAACGUUGCUCGGAAUCAUUGGGCGUAAAGCGCACGUAGGCGGUCUGUUAUGUCGGAUGUGAAAGCCCUUGGCUUAACUGAGGAAGUGCAUCCGAAACUGGUAGGCUAGAGUACUAAAGAGGGUCGCGGAAUUCCCGGUGUAGAGGUGAAAUUCGUAGAUAUCGGGAGGAACACCGGUGGCGAAGGCGGCGACCUGGGUAGAUACUGACGCUGAGGUGCGAAAGCGUGGGGAGCAAACAGG
rnacentral:rRNA from 1 species